rnacentral:rRNA from 1 species
CCUACGGGCGGCUGCAGUGGGGAAUAUUGGACAAUGGGCGAAAGCCUGAUCCAGCCAUGCCGCGUGUGUGAAGAAGGCCUUCGGGUUGUAAAGCACUUUCAGUGGGGAAGAAAGCCUUGGGGCUAAUACCCUCGAGGAAGGACAUCACCCACAGAAGAAGCACCGGCUAACUCCGUGCCAGCAGCCGCGGUAAUACGGAGGGUGCGAGCGUUAAUCGGAAUUACUGGGCGUAAAGCGCGCGUAGGCGGUCUGAUAAGCCGGUUGUGAAAGCCCCGGGCUCAACCUGGGAACGGCAUCCGGAACUGUCAGGCUAGAGUGCAGGAGAGGAAGGUAGAAUUCCCGGUGUAGCGGUGAAAUGCGUAGAGAUCGGGAGGAAUACCAGUGGCGAAGGCGGCCUUCUGGACUGACACUGACGCUGAGGUGCGAGAGCGUGGGUAGCAAACAGGAUUAGAUACCCUGGUAGUC